UUAAUCAAGGAUUGAUAUUAAAUUGUUUUAUCAAAUGUUUUUUCUGCAUCUAUUCAUAUGUUUGCAUGUCUGUUAAUGUGGCGAAUAUUGCUAACUGAUUUAGUCAUGAGGUAUUUUCUUAUAUCUAUGCUACUGGAUUCCAUUUGCUAACAUUUUGUUUAGGAAUUUUAGAUAUAUGUUUUUUGUAACAUUGGCCUGUAAUGGGAGUAAAUUAGUUUGACAAAAUCAAAUUUUAAAAUGCAAUGUCUUUGACCCAGAAUGUAUCCUAUGGAUGUACUCCACAGGAUAUGCAAAAGUAUAUGUACAAGCAUAUUUAUUGUUAUAAUAGCAAGAAACUAAAGACAAAUGUCCUUUAGUCGGAGACUUGGUUUUUUAAAAAGGUACAGUAUUUUGUUGCCAUUACAAAGAAUGAGGUAGAUCUAUUUGUGCUGAUGUGUAAAGUUCUCCGAAAUCUAUAAUUAGGGUAAAGCAGGUGGCAAGAGCAAGAAUACAUAUUUAUCUCUAUCCCGUUUGUGAAUUUUUUAAGUGAUAGCGCUAUGGCUGUGCAUAUGCUAUUUCUGGAAGCGCACUCAAAGCCUUGUAACACCACUUCCCUCUGGAGAGCAGGGAUGGCAGGAAGCUGUAGGACUACGUCUCUUUCCACACCUUUUUAUAAUUCAUGAGCAUGAGCAUGUAUUGGUCUCUGUACACCUGCCCCUGGGCUUGAGGAGGCCCUGCUGGCUGCAAUGUCUCACUUUCACCUAACUGCACAGAGUCUCAGCCACUUCCCUCCAGCCCUCGAGGACUGUCACCCAUCCUAGAAUGGAGGCCUUGCAUUAGGCCCGGGUUUGGCCAGAAGAAUAGAGCAGUUGGAAAUGUUAAGUUGACAUAAAUAGGAAGCUCUAUAACCUCGUGCAAGUGUUGUCUUGGAAACCAGAGCCUGGGCGGUCUCCAUGGAAACCGUGCUCAGCCUUCUGCCUGAAGGAGUUACCACCCACUGGUGCUGGAGUGUUAUUUAUCAGGGACCUCAGAGCUCCAAUAACUGCUUAGGGAAUGAUGAUGGACUGGUCCCUGCCCACCCUGGCCAUGUCGGGUGUGGGUCCCUGGGCACCUCCAGCUCUCUGCCUGGGAAAGAAAAAGAGCCCAUUUCCAUGGGAUGUGCCCUCAUGGGGAGGCACAGCAGACCACCCAAGGCAGCACUUGCAGUGUCCCCGAACUGCCAGAGCACGGAGGCAGAGACGUGGGAGCCGAUGAAGGUCGCACGCCAGCCUCCCACCUGUGAGACAAAGGGCCCUGUCACUGGAAGCCACGUCCAGCCUGGCCCCGCAGGAGCCAGGGCUCUGCGCCUAACGGAGGACUGAUAGGAAAGGGAAGGCUGGCAGCAGUGAGGGGCCAUCAUCUGAAUCACGUUCCUGUAUUCGGGCUUUGCCCCUCCAAAACAGUUUUGAUGGGAGACACCAGCCACCUACUACUAUGCAGCCAUGCACCACAUAACGACGUUUCAGGCAACAAUGACUGCACAUACCACAGUGGUCCCGUAAAAUUACAAUGGAGCUGAAAAUUUCCUAUUGCCUAGUGACGUCACAGCCAUUGUAAGGUCAGAGUGCAACACAUCACUCAUGUGUUUGUGUUGAUGCUGCUGUAAACAAACCUACCGCACUGCCAGUCAUAUAAAAGUAUAGCCCAUACAAUUAUGUGUAGUACUUAAUAAUAAUAAACAACUAUG